AAAACCCUCUUCUCAUUUGACCAAUCCUCUCAUACAUGACCAGAUUCCAAGGAUAGACAGAGAUCGAGAGAGUGACUGUUUGAAGGAGAGAGAAAAGGACGGUGGUCGUGGUGUUACAGAUCUGGCAGUGGCGACGACAGCGCCGCCGCGACGGCGGCGGCGGUGCUCUAAUUUCCGGCGGGAUUCACCGUUCUGCACAGAGAGAGACGAAAAAAGGAGAUGCCGGUGUCGAGCUCCGGUGAGCUGCGGUGGUGGCAGACGGGAGCGCCGCCGUCUGCAGCGACGAUGGUGGUGGUGGUUUUUUUUUUGUAUUUUAAACUUGAAUCUUGUAGGGAUGUGACACCGUUUUCGUAACUCCAUAUUUAGCCGGUACAUAUUUUUUUGUUACAACGUAGAAGAAGGAGAUGCCGGUGUCGAGCUCCGAUGAGCUGCGGCGGCGGCAGACGGGAGUGCUGCCGUCUGCAGCGACGUUGGUGGUGGAUUUUGUUGUUUUUCAGUUUUGCUCAGUUGGUUCAAAGAUGCGGGAUGUGUUUGGCUAGGAUUCGAGUUAUGUUCGGGAACCGGGUUUCAUUUCGGGUCAGCUCAAAAGAGUAGUUCAGAUUACGGGUUCGGGUUUUAGGACGAUAGCAGCCCGUUUGUUCCUCUCGGUCCUCCUCAUACCUCGGUUAGUAGUAUGUUGUCUUUGAAUAUUUGUGAUUCACUAUAAAUCUUGAUUAUAUGAUUCACUGUUUUAGAACAUGUGUUUAAAGAAUAUGUUGUGAUUGUGUAUUUGAGUUUGGUUGAUGACAUUAAGUUAUAGGAUUGAAAUAUGUAUGAGUUGUUUUGUUGUU